GACGAACGCUGGCGGCGUGCUUAACACAUGCAAGUCGAACGGGAUUUAGUAGACAGAAGCCUCGGCUAAAGAUUACUAAUGAGAGUGGCGAACGGGUGAGUAACGCGUGAGCAACCUGCCUAUGACAGUGGGAUAGCCUCGGGAAACCGGGAUUAAUACCGCAUAAAAUCGUAGAAACACAUGUUUCAACGGUCAAAGAUUUAUCGGUCAUAGAUGGGCUCGCGUCUGAUUAGCUAGUUGGUGAGAUAACAGCCCACCAAGGCGACGAUCAGUAGCCGGUCUGAGAGGAUGCACGGCCACAUUGGAACUGAGACACGGUCCAAACUCCUACGGGAGGCAGCAGUGGGGAAUAUUGCACAAUGGGGGAAACCCUGAUGCAGCGACGCCGCGUGAACGAAGAAGGUAUUCGUAUCGUAAAGUUCUGUCCUAUGGGAAGAUAAUGACAGUACCAUAGAAGAAAGCUCCGGCUAAAUACGUG
rnacentral:rRNA from 1 species